rnacentral:rRNA from 1 species
UACGUAGGGUGCGAGCGUUAAUCGGAAUUACUGGGCGUAAAGCGUGCGCAGGCGGCUAUGCAAGACAGAUGUGAAAUCCCCGGGCUCAACCUGGGAAUGGCGAUGGAGACUGCGAGGCUAGAGUUUGGCAGAGGGGGGUAGAAUUCCACGUGUAGCAGUGAAAUGCGUAGAGAUGUGGAGGAACACCGAUGGCGAAGGCAGCCCCCUGGGUCAAAACUGACGCUCAUGCACGAAAGCGUGGGGAGCAAACAGG